rnacentral:piRNA from 1 species
UUCAAAGCAUACCAGCUUGAGUUGCAUG